AUGUCGCAUCCGGCCGCCGACACUGCCGCUGCUCUCGCAGCGUCCCUCGCCGCCGCAUCGACUACUGCUGCCGCUGGUGCGGGUCUCCGAUCCGUCGCCACGGACCAUGCGUUCCUACCGCCGUCGCUCGCGGCUCUCCUCUAUGGAGGGGCUGCGCCCUACACGACGGAGGGUUCGCUCGGCCCCCUGUCGACGCGAUCUGCAGGCCACCAGUACGCCGGCCCCGUCGCCUACCAGUACGCCGGCUACUCCUCGUCGCCCUCUGCAUCUAUCCUGCUUCCGGCCGCCUCGUACCCGCUGGUACCUGCGCCGCCGCCCUCGGCCGCCCCGCAUCCGAUGAUGCGCCCGGCCGUGUCUGACCCGACUGCUGUCAUCUACCCCGCAGCGGGCUCGUCUGUCGCCGACGCCCCUCACGUGGCCUACGACGGCUAUGGUGGCCUUCCUCUAUAUGGUGCCCCGUACGGCUCUUCGCCCGCGCCUCGGUCCGGCGCCCCCGCGGCCUCCUCGAUGUAUGGUCCGCCGGCAGCGUACGGUGCACCGUCGUCCCACGGCGUUGCGGCGUAUGGCGCUCCACAUCAACCCCCGUCCGCGCCGCCGCCCUACAUGGAUCUUGAAGCUGCUUUGGCUGCGAUCUCCUCGCCACCGUUCCUGUUCUCGCACCUCCUCCCGGUCAAGCUCAAGCCGGAUAACUACCUCUACUGGUGUGCGCAAGUGCUACCUUUGCUUCGCAGCCAUUACUUGGAGGGCUUCGUCGACGGUACCCUGCCAUGUCCGCCGCCGCAUCAUCCGAUGUUUCGUGCGUGGAUUGCUCAGGACCAGGCCAUCCUCUCGGCGAUACAAUCCUCCCUGGGCGAGGGUGUUGCCGGCCUGGUUCUCUUUGCCGCGACAUCUCAUGAGGUGUGGGACAUCUUGGAGUCGAGUUUUUCCUCACAGUCUACUGCGCAGAGCAUGUCCAUCCGCGCUAAACUUGCUGACACUCGCAAGGACAACGGGUCGGUGACCGUCUUCUACAACAAAAUCAAAAAGCUGGCUGACACUCUUGCUUCCAUUGGCGAACCUCUUCGUGACACUGAGUUCACAUCCUACAUCCUUGCGGGCCUGGAUAGCGACUAUGACUCGUUGGCGGAGGUGAUCAAUGAACGCAAGGUUCCUAUCCGUCCUCAGGAUCUCUACAGCCGCCUCCUCUCAACGGAGCAACGGCUCAACGCACGCCGCCCGGACACUCCCGUGGACCUCUCUGUUAACGUUGCGUAUCGUGGCAAAGGAGGUGGCCGCGGCCCUUCUGCUUCCUCGGCUGGGGGGGGGGCAAAUCCGGUGGCAGUACAUCCUCGGGUCAGCAGCCGCCCUCGCGUCCUGGCUCCUCUGUGGUCACUAUUGAUGGUCGUCCACGUGCAUGUUGUGCUGCGUGUGGAGCGGCCCAGCAGUGCCAACUCUGUGGUCUGCCAGGUCAUGUUGCCUCUCGCUGUCAUCGUCGCUUCAAGACCGACUUCCUCGGCCUCGGCAACAACGGCAAGGGCAAUGAUCGCCAAGUUCUUAUGGCGCAGCAGGGACAUACGCAGCAGGGACAUACGCCUUCAUAUCCUAUUGAUCCUUCCUGGUACAUGGAUACUGGAGCAACAGCCCAUGUAA
rnacentral:rRNA from 1 species